UACGUAGGGGGCAAGCGUUGUCCGGAAUCAUUGGGCGUAAAGCGCGCGUAGGCGGACCUGCAAGUCGGAGGUGAAAUCCUGGAGCUCAACUCCAGAACUGCCUUUGAUACUGGGAAUCUCGAGUCCGGGAGAGGUGAGUGGAACUGCGAGUGUAGAGGUGAAAUUCGUAGAUAUUCGCAAGAACACCAGUGGCGAAGGCGGCUCACUGGCCCGGUACUGACGCUGAGGUGCGAAAGCGUGGGGAGCAAACAGG
rnacentral:rRNA from 1 species